GACGAACGCUGGCGGCGUGCUUAACACAUGCAAGUCGAACGGAAAGGCCCUGCUUUUGUGGGGUGCUCGAGUGGCGCACGGGUGAGUAACACGUGAGUAACCUGCCCUUGACUUUGGGAUAACUUCAGGAAACUGGGGCUAAUACCGGAUAGGAGCUCCUGCUGCAUGGUGGGGGUUGGAAAGUUUCGGCGGUUGGGGAUGGACUCGCGGCUUAUCAGCUUGUUGGUGGGGUAGUGGCUUACCAAGGCUUUGACGGGUAGCCGGCCUGAGAGGGUGACCGGCCACAUUGGGACUGAGAUACGGCCCAGACUCCUACGGGAGGCAGCAGUGGGGAAUAUUGCACAAUGGGCGGAAGCCUGAUGCAGCAACGCCGCGUGCGGGAUGACGGCCUUCGGGUUGUAAACCGCUUUCGCCUGUGACGAAGCGUGAGUGACGGUAAUGGGUAAAGAAGCACCGGCUAACUACGUGCCAGCAGCCGCGGUGAUACGUAGGGUGCGAGCGUUGUCCGGAUUUAUUGGGCGUAAGGGCUCGUAGGUGGUUGAUCGCGUCGGAAGUGUAAUCUUGGGGCUUAACCCUGAGCGUGCUUUCGAUACGGGUUGACUUGAGGUUUGUAGGGGAGAAUGGAAUUCCUGGUGGAGCGGUGGAAUGCGCAGAUAUCAGGAGGAACACCAGUGGCGAAGGCGGUUCUCUGGGCCUUUCCUGACGCUGAGGAGCGAAAGCGUGGGGAGCGAACAGGCUUAGAUACCCUGGUAGUCCACGCUGUAAACGGUGGGUACUAGGUGUGGGGUCCAUUCCACGGGUUCCGUGCCGUAGCUAACGCUUUAAGUACCCCGCCUGGGGAGUACGGCCGCAAGGCUAAAACUCAAAGGAAUUGACGGGGCCCCGCACAAGCGGCGGAGCAUGCGGAUUAAUUCGAUGCAACGCGUAGAACCUUACCUGGGUUUGACAUGGAUCGGGAGCGCUCAGAGAUGGGUGUGCCUCUUUUGGGGUCGGUUCACAGGUGGUGCAUGGCUGUCGUCAGCUCGUGUCGUGAGAUGUUGGGUUAAGUCCCGCAACGAGCGCAACCCUUGUUCACUGUUGCCAGCACGUUAUGGUGGGGACUCAGUGGAGACCGCCGGGGUCAACUCGGAGGAAGGUGGGGAUGACGUCAAGUCAUCAUGCCCCUUAUGUCCAGGGCUUCACGCAUGCUACAAUGGCUGGUACAGAGAGUGGCGAGCCUGUGAGGGUGAGCGAAUCUCGGAAAGCCGGUCUCAGUUCGGAUUGGGGUCUGCAACUCGACCUCAUGAAGUCGGAGUCGCUAGUAAUCGCAGAUCAGCAACGCUGCGGUGAAUACGUUCCCGGG
rnacentral:rRNA from 1 species